UACGGAGGGUGCAAGCGUUGUUCGGAAUUACUGGGCGUAAAGCGUGUCUAGGUGGAAAUAUAAGUCAGGUGUGAAAGACCUUGGCUCAACCAAGGAAUUGCGCCUGAAACUGUGUUUCUCGAACAAGGAAGAGGUGGGUAGAAUACCUAGUGUAGCAGUGAAAUGCGUAGAUAUUAGGUAGAACACCAGAGGCGAAGGCGGCCCACUGGUCCUUUGUUGACACUAAAGCACGAAAGCGUGGGGAGCAAACAGG
rnacentral:rRNA from 1 species